UCGAGGAUCUUCCGCAAUGGGCGAAAGCCUGACGGAGCGACACCGCGUGCAGGAUGAAGGCCUUCGGGUUGUAAACUGCUGUCACGCACUAGGAAUCCCCUGCGGUGAAUAGCCGCAGGGUUGACUAAAGCGAGAGGAAGCACCGGCUAACUCUGUGCCAGCAGCCGCGGUAAGACAGAGGGUGCAAACGUUGUUCGGAAUCACUGGGCAUAAAGCGCACGUAGGCCGUCCACUAAGUCGAAUGUGAAAUACCCCGGCUCAACCGGGGAACUGCAUCCGAUACUGGUGGACUCGAGGAUGGUUGGGGUGAGUGGAACUCCAGGUGGAGCGGUGAAAUGCGUAGAUAUCUGGAGGAACACCGGUGGCGAAAGCGGCUCACUGGACCAUCUCUGACGCUGAGGUGCGAAAGCUAGGGGAGCAAA
rnacentral:rRNA from 1 species